GUGAAUCCAGCAUCAUGGAUCAGGACAGAGAGGAGGGAGUCCCUCCCUCUAAAACCACUCAGAGGAACCAGCCUGGCCCUGAACCCAGCUGUGUGUCCAUGAAGAGCGACCGGUCAAAAAAAGGUUUUAUUGAUUUCCAUCAAAGUCGUGGAUCUAUCAGACAAGUGGACCAGCAGAGCUCAGAGCUUCCCAGUGGUCAGUCUGCCCAGCAGCAUCAAACAC